AGUAGAUUGCCCGAGAGGCUUAAGGGGCACGCCUGGAAAGCGUGUUGGUGUAACAGCCACAAGAGUUCGAAUCUCUUAUCUACUGCCA
rnacentral:tRNA from 1 species